AGCACAGAGGUUCCGAAGGUACUUGCAGAAGCAGCCCCCACCAGGAAAGAGGUUGACUCGCCGUCACGUGGUCAAGAACCUGCACUGAUUUCAAUGUUCAGGGGAAUAGGCUUUGAACCUUCAGUGGCCUCAAGAGGAAGAGAAACAUUACGACUUGGAAGAGAAGCAGUCGAAGAGGUGGAAGAGUUAACGCUGCCAAUUCCGUAUGUAGAAGCCAGUAGCCCACAGAUUGGCCACCGCCAAGCAGUGAUCGGCAGAGGAUUUCUUGGCCAAGAAAUUUCCCCAAGCAUGAUGGUGGGAGUUGGAAAAGCAUUAAGUCCUGCGCUUGGACUGGGACAAAGAUGUCCUUUACCUCUUUCCUCCCUUCCUCUCCAAAGUGUUCAGGCUGGUUCUCUUACCUCUGAGGCAACAGCAUGCCAUCCCUCCGAGACCUCUG